rnacentral:rRNA from 1 species
GGCGUAAAGAGCUCGUAGGCGGUUUGUCACGUCUGCUGUGAAAUCCCGAGGCUCAACCUCGGGCCUGCAGUGGGUACGGGCAAACUAGAGUGUGGUAGGGGAGACUGGAAUUCCUGGUGUAGCGGUGGAAUGCGCAGAUAUCAGGAGGAACACCGAUGGCGAAGGCAGGUCUCUGGGCCACUACUGACGCUGAGGAGCGAAAGCAUGGGGAGCGAACAGGAUUAGAUACCCUGGUAGUCCAUGCCGUAAACGUUGGGCACUAGGUGUGGGGCUCGUUCCACGAGUUCCGUGCCGCAGCAAACGCAUUAAGUGCCCCGCCUGGGGAGUACGGCCGCAAGGCUAAAACUCAAAGGAAUUGACGGGGGCCCGCACAAGCGGCGGAGCAUGCUGAUUAAUUCGAUGCAACGCGAAGAACCUUACCAAGGCUUGACAUAUACCGAAAACUCAUGGAGACAUGGGGUCCGCAAGGGCGGUAUACAGGUGGUGCAUGGUUGUCGUCAGCUCGUGUCGUGAGAUGUUGGGUUAAGUCCCGCAACGAGCGCAACCCUCGUCCUAUGUUGCCAGCGCGUUAUGGCGGGGACUCAUAGGAGACUGCCGGGGUCAACUCGGAGGAAGGUGGGGAUGAGGUCAAAUCAUCAUGCCCCUUAUGUCUUGGGCUUCAAGCAUGCUACAAUGGCCGGUACAAAGGGCUGCGAUACCGCAAGGUGGAACGAAUCCCAAAAAGCCGGUCUCAGUUCGGAUUGGGGUCUGCAACUCGACCCCAUGAAGUCGGAGUCGCUAGUAAUCGCA